UGGGCCGCGUGCUGGAGCUGAUGGACGAUGACCCAAACUUUAACGUGGCAGGAUACUUCGUAGUGGCCAAGAGCUGCAUUAUUUCGGUCACCUGCUUCAUCUCCACGUACCUGGUCAUUCUGUUACAGUUCUACAUUAGCGAGUUAAAAUGUCCGGCAAAAGGGGACGCAGCCACCACUGCCAACACCACUGACACUAUCAUCGAGAUCUUAUACCAAUGAUGUCUCCUUCCUCCCCCCCAUCCCACACACCAGAGAUUUUUACUCCAAAGAUGUAAAAAUAAAAGCUGCAAGAAGUUGUCAGGCUUUUUGAAGCUGCAUUUAUAUAUUUUUCUUAUUUUCAUUUUUUUUUCGAGUUCUUUAUCAAAUCGGCACAAAACCUAGUUGCAGAGUCUAUUCCAGCAGCUAAAAAGGAAACGAUGGGAGAACAUGAAAAAAAAAACCCAAAAAAACAAAAGAAGCCACAUACGAAAACACGG